UUACAACGUGAACUCUGCUUUGCCUUGCCUCUGUGUGAAAUAACCUGACUUUGCUCUAACAAGCUGCAUCCUGUUUGAGGUAAGAAGAGCUUCAGGAAUGAAACAGCACAGGAAGCUAUUACUUGUAAAUGGCUUGCCCAUUGCUUUCAAUGGUAGUAGUAGCAGAACUGCUGAGCACAUUGUGGCUUGCUCUGUUUUGGAAGCACAUUGAGCAGAGCUCACAUCCUGGAAACUCCCCAGCUGUUACUGGAAAUGUAUUUAGAAGUUGAUGUUCAUAACGGACCUGCAGAUUUCUCCCUUCCCCCUGCCUUGAUUUAACAAUUUUAAUGGACAGGCUGUCUCUGAUAGAAGAAUACAGUUCAUCAAAAGUGUCUGCAGGUUGUCAAACUCAGCGAGAUUUGGGGAUACUCGGAGGCUGUCAUGGCCAACAAGAAGAUUUUCUGUAGGGUUUUGCCAUCACUCACCCUCAGGAAAUAAUCACUCACUACAUUCUGCAUGCUCUCAUGAUAGAGCUCUAUUUGAGAGAAAAGAGCCAUUUUAUCAAAGGACAAUAUAUCCCUUCUCUUGGUCCACGCAGCUUCCAUUAUCAGGCCAUAAUAAAUCAUAUUUAUGGUCUCAGUUAAUAAGACUGAUUACAAUGCAGGUUACAGACAUGGGAAAAGCAAAGCAGGUGAAAAGAUGUUUUAAUGAAAAUAUGAUAAGAAAACAGCUUCUUCUGAACAUUUUAGGCUAUUAUUUGUAAUGAUCACAGACAAUUUUUGAUGCAUCUUCUUUAGCAAUGGUUUAAGCUGCAUAAAUUGGCCUGCCAGUUUAUACAUUGGAAUAGGAAAAAUCAUGGUAUCCUUCUUAUGUUGUCUAGAAUCAUUAUAUACAUUAUAAGCAUAAAAUGAGUUUAAUGUAUGUGCUUUGAAAUGAAGGGGAAAACAGAAAAUCAGGGAAGACUGAUUUUAAUGUUGCUCAAAAUGAUUUUGAAAUUUUCUACUCAUCUUUGUUACUAACAGUGCAUUUUCCAUGAAAUUUAGGAAUGACAUGUACUGCUUUCAUCUCCUUAAAAUUAAUAUAGUGCUCUUUCUGCUUUUCUCAAUUUCUUCAAAGUUUUUCUUAGAGCACUGUACAGAGAGACAAAGAGAGAUAUAUUCUCCACUCAAUGUGUGCACAUAGCUGCUAUUAAUGCUAAUGUGAGUUAAGUGUGUACUUCCUGAGGAGAAUA